GGGGAUCUAGCUCAGCGGCAUAAGCGCCUGCCUUGCAAGCAGGCAGUCGUGAGUUCGAUCCCUGGUACCCA
rnacentral:tRNA from 1 species